rnacentral:rRNA from 1 species
UAUGGUAGUUAUAGCUGUGGGGAAACACCUCUUUCCAUUCCGAACAGAGAAGUUAAGCCCACAAACGCCGAUGGUGCUAUUUAUAUGGGAGAGUAGGUAACUGCCUUAA